CGCGAAGAACCUUACCUAAGCUUGACAUCCUUUUGACCUCUCCUUAAUCGGAGAUUUCCCUUCGGGGACAGAAGUGACAGGUGGUGCAUGGUUGUCGUCAGCUCGUGUCGUGAGAUGUUGGGUUAAGUCCCGCAACGAGCGCAACCCUUGCCUUUAGUUGCCAGCAUUAAGUUGGGCACUCUAGAGGGACUGCCAGGGAUAACCUGGAGGAAGGUGGGGAUGACGUCAAAUCAUCAUGCCCCUUAUGCUUAGGGCUACACACGUGCUACAAUGGGUGGUACAGAGGGCAGCCAAGUCGUGAGGCGGAGCUAAUCCCUUAAAGCCAUUCUCAGUUCGGAUUGUAGGCUGAAACUCGCCUACAUGAAGCUGGAGUUACUAGUAAUCGCAGAUCAGAAUGCUGCGGUGAAUGCGUUCCCGGGUCUUGUACACACC
rnacentral:rRNA from 1 species